UAGUCAUAUGCUUGUCUCAAAGAUUAAGCCAUGCACGUUUAAAUACAAGCCUUAGAAUGGUGAAAUCGCGAAUAGCUCAUUACAACAGCCAUUGUUUCUUGGAUCUUACUCUCUACUUGGAUAACUGUGGUAAUUCUAGAGCUAAUACAUGCACUGUAGUCCCGACGCAAGGAGGGGCGCAUUUAUUAGAUCUAAACCAAUCGGGCUUGCCCGUUGUUUGGUGACUCUGAAUAACUCCGCAGAUCGCACGGUCUAGCACCGGCGACAGUUCCUUCAAGUGUCUGCCUUAUCAACUUUCGAUGGUAGUUUAUGUGACUACCAUGGUUGUAACGGGUAACGGAGAAUUAGGGUUCGACUCCGGAGAGGGAGCCUGAGAAACGGCUACCACAUCCAAGGAAGGCAGCAGGCGCGCAAAUUACCCACUCUCGGCACGAGGAGGUAGUGACGAAAAAUAACGAGACAGUUCUCUUAUGAGGUCUGUCAUCGGAAUGGGUACAAUCUAAACCCUUUAACGAGGAUCUAUU
rnacentral:rRNA from 1 species